GCGCGCGACCGCGACUCUCAGCUCACUCGCUCGCUCGAGCGCAUCCACCGCAAGCGGCGCGCCGACCGCGACCGCGUCUCCGACGCAGACCUCAAGCGCACUUACACCGGGCUCGACAGGGCGUACGCCGAGCAAUUCAUCGCGGUGUGCGACGAGAGCCGGCACGCGGCCGAGCAGCACGACUCGCUGGCCAGCACCACCACCGCCUCCAGCGACUCCACGCGCUAGCCUCAGCUCGGGCUUCACCGCGCGACCCGGCGGCAUUUACUAAAGCCUGGUCCGUGAGCACGUAGAAUUUUGUCCAAUGACCCCAAGCUACCCAUCCUUAUCGCUCGCGCGUAGUUAUGUUGCUGUCGCGCUCGCACACUCACACUGCGGGCACCCGUCGCACAGUCGCGACAGCAAUAUAAUUACACGCGAGCGAUAAGGAUGGGUAGCUUGGGGUCAUUGGUCAAAAUUCUACGUGCUCACGGACCAGGCUUUAGGCGACCAGUGACGAGCAUACGAGGAGCAGGCGACGGCACGUCGAACUCUGUAGCGUCUAAGUAGUUGUAAAGUCCUGUUUCCUUCUAGGCGGAGCGGAGCCGAGAAAUGUUUUUAAUAACCAAUCAGAGGUGGAAUUGUGUAAAGCAAUCGUAAUCAUUUGACAGUUUAUAACGUACGAUUAUUCUGUCAAACGCUUUGUUUAACUGACUUUAUCGUACGUUAUGAACUGUCAAUUAUCAAAUGAUUACGAUUGCUUUACACAAUUCCACCUCAGAUUUCAUUCUCCAACUAGGUGGAAACUGGGACCAAUUGGUGCUAACUUGAAAAUCAAUGGUCUGAUGUGCUAUCGACUGCAUCACCAAACAACGUUCUGAUCCCUUCAAUGAUGGAACGACUUGCUCCACAAGCAUUGAGCUGUACAGACGAAACGAUCGAUCGGCAUUUAUGUAGACUGUAAUACGUGAGAUAACAUCGUAUCUAACUAGCUCUAUGUAAUCGAACGAGUAGGUAAUCCUCUGAACAAACCUAUUGGUAAUCAGCCGUUGCAUUACGUUACAGGGCAAAUCAGCUAUUUGACAGCUGUGGGAAAGUCCUUAAGUGGUAGAGUAGUUAGUUUAUUCAAUACUAUCUGUAGUUGGGUGUACAUUAUUAACAGUACAGCCCAACUCUGAUAAACGUUGCUUUCUUCAAAUCAAUAGAAGCAAAGUUUCACUUGAAGGAAAAACAAUAUUAUUCGAAUGCAUCGAUUGUAUUGGUGAAACAACCGCUUCAACGAAGAUAUUUAUUAAAUGCGGUAGACGUAGGGGACCAACAUCGCGUUAUUGUAGGGUAGUAUGAAUCUGAAUACUCGGUAGGCUAGAACUAACGCUAACAUAUCAUACCAAACUAAACGAGAUAGCUUUAGGACCUGACAUACUGUACAUAGCCUUAACGUUACUAACGCACAUUUAGCUCUACCUUAUAUUAUUAUGUACCUACUUACAAUGCACUUUUAGAUCUAACAAUUGGGGGGAUUAACACUCACUAGAGAGCAAAGUUUAUCUCGUAACACUAUACAAAUGUUCACUUUGACAACACCAGACUACUAAAGGCUUUUUUUUUAUAUCUGGGGUAUAUUUUGAAACAUGUCUACUUUUAGGAAAGCAAGAAGAAAGAAAGAUUUAUUUAAAUCAAUAAGACUUCCACAGAAUAUUAAACGAAUCAGCUUUCUCGUACUACGGUAAUAACUUUGCUCUAACAUACUGGCACUAUACUAACAGAAAAUUUGUAAACUUGUGUAAUAUCGUCAAAUAUCUGUGUUAUAUGCUAUGUCUAAGUCUUAUUUAUAUUUAGUUCACUUUAUUUUUAGGUGAAUAGAGAUAUUCGAGGAUUUUUUUUUUGCUAUUUAGCUCUUGUUUUACUUUUUUUACCACAAGACCUCUCAAAGGCAAAGCGAUGAUCAGGCUGAAAGUGGAAGCUAUCUUCAACCAGAAUCUUUAGUAAUAUUAUGUGCAUUGCUACAAACUUAAGCCCAUCCAAAACAAUCUCUAUUACUUAUCGAACGCAGAUAUUGCAAUGUAGAGACUUUAGAACACUUUUAAUGUAGAGACAGCUAAUGUAAACGGAAUAUCUCUAUUUACAAUAGUGUUAGCAACUUAGCUAUUAACUAAUUUUAUAGCCUGACCAGGAACAUAAAAACCCUGGCAUAGAGGCGCGUCAAUUGCAUUUGAUAGUGCAACACUGAGUACAGUCGUACCUGUGUUAAAUUAAUAGGCUAACUUUAUGUAUCAGGAUUCAGGAUUACGGGCUAAUUUGAUAUUUUCAUGAAUUAACGAAAAAAUAUUAUUAUAGGUAACCUGGUUUAAAUAAAUUAAAUGAAAACAUCAAUCGAGCUAGUAGGAUUUAUUUUAUUAUUCAUCAAUAAUCAAAUUCAGAACUUGAAUAUUCAACUGCAAUGUCUGCUCAUGAACGCUUCAAACUCGGUACUUCUUUCCCAAUUCCAUAAAAUUCAACACUUAGAAAGUGACAAAAAACUUUAAAAUAGGUAGUUGAAGCAAACCACAGCUAAUUUUCAUAGUGGACUGUACUAUACGAUAAACAUGUCAGUCAAUUUGACACCCUUGUCGGAAAAAUUAUUCAAUGAAAAUAUUGUCCGAACCCUUAGUAUUUCUCUUCGACAAAUACUUUAACACAUUGUGAACCACUUUUCUUUCACGACUAUGAAAAGAUUUUAGCAAUUUAAUUCACAAAAUCAAUUGCGCACAUUUAAAAUAAAGUUUGUUUACACUUUGACAGCAAUAGACUGACAUGCAAGGUGACAUGACAAUGAAGUUUUCAGUUACUGUUGCCAUUAAAAGAAAUUAGUACCAUUAGUUUUCCGCAACAUGGCGAGGGUUUUUAUGUUCCUGGUCAGGCUAUAGUUACUUUAUUCCUAUAGUCCGACCGGUAGAGUCUACACUUGUGUUAUUACAGAGAUAGAGAAAUACACAUUUCAAUGAAUAAAAUGUAAUGUAUAAAGUUUUAGUCUUUGAAUUUGACGAUUCUAAACUUCUUGACUCUUCUGUAAUGACUCAAGUAAAGACCUCACUAUCGUCGGUCCGUAGUGUUUGUACAUUUGAAUCGAAGUCCUUUGUACCUAACCGGUGCCAAAUUGUGAGCACGAUUGGUAGAUAGAGUCUAAAUUUGCUCAAUUCGUUAAUGUUUUAUAUCCUUAAUUUUAAGUAAUUCUAGACUACUCACGAAAAUAAUGUAACCUUCAGGUAGAGACAGUUUCAAACCAAUUUUAUGAUAUUGCUCUGUUUGUGAGCGAAAGAGCAUAUUAUAUUUUUAUGUAAAAUCAAAAUCUUGUUCUGUCUUGUUGUCCCAUUACUAUAAAUUUUACGUAGAAAAGUAAGUACUAUAUUUAUAUUUUUUCUUAAUUAAUAUUUUCGCUGUAAUAUGUCGUGUCUCGUUACCGAUCCAAUAUUAGCUGACAUAUCUUAGAUUUAGAUCACUUGUGCUAAUUUUUCAGUAGCUUUAGAUACUUUAUAAUGUUGUUAUUUAAACUUUAUUGUUUUUAAGCAAAAUGUAAUGUAUUUUUAUUUUAAUGGAACUGAAAUGUAGGUAUAGUUUACUUAGAAUUUUAUCUUCAUAAGCUAAAUGGGUCAAAUAAUUGAAAACCGGGAGUAAAUGUAACAAGUAUUUCCAUUAAAUUCUUGUUCUGUACAGCUAGGUGCGUAAUUGGAAAUAUUAGUAAAUAAUUUAAUUUUGUACAUACAAAUGUUUAAGGAACAAUAUACUGUAAGAUGUAACUUACCGUCUGUGUAGGUCAGUAUGGGGCGGAGUCAACGAAUUUCUUUUAUUGAAAUAAUAUAUUUAUUGUUUAAUUGUAUUGGAAAUAUUUUCCGCUUGUAAAGUGACGUGCAAAUAUAUACUGUUUUAUACUAAAA